AGCUUUGCACAGUGGCAGUAUCAUAGCCAAUGAGGUUUAUCCAAGGCAUGAUUAUUGCUAAUUGAAAGCUCUCUUAAAAAUUCCUGACAUCACUUAUUGUGCCUUCUUUUCCUUUAUCACCUCACCAGGAAUUAAAGAA